UAGCUUUGUUUUGACAUUGACACGUGUCGUGUUGUGAUUGGCUUCUGAUGUUGACACGUGUCGCGUUAUGAUUGGCUUCUGAUGUCAACACGUGUCGCACUGUGAUUGGCUUCCUGGUUAGAGGGAAACUCUUCUGGUUCCUUGACGGUAUAACGUUGACCGGUGCUUAGUAGUUUCGAGAUUGGUCAAGUAUGGUACAAACAGUGCUCCCCUAAGUUCCCGAGUGAGGGAAGCUCCUCGGUUGGGGACUUGCAAGAUCCAAGUCGCUGAGUAAUCACGAAACUUCUAAGUACCGAAGUGUGGUAUCAUUUUCACUUGCCUUAUCUGUCUCG
rnacentral:lncRNA from 1 species